rnacentral:rRNA from 1 species
UAAGGAAUAUUGGUCAAUGGACGCAAGUCUGAACCAGCCAUGCCGCGUGAAGGAUGAAGGUCCUCUGGAUUGUAAACUUCUUUUAUCUGGGACGAAAACGGGAUUUUUAUCUCAAUUGACGGUACCAGAGGAAUAAGCACCGGCUAACUCCGUGCCAGCAGCCGCGGUAAUACGGAGGGUGCGAGCGUUAUCCGGAUUUACUGGGUUCAAAGGGUGCGUAGGUGGGCUUAUAAGUCAGUGGUGAAAUCUCCGAGCUUAACUUGGAAACUGCAGUUGAUACUAUAGGUCUUGAAUUAUCUGGAGGUAAGCGGAAUAUGUCAUGUAGCGGUGAAAUGCUUAGAUAUGACAUAGAACACCAAUUGCGAAGGCAGCUUACUACAUAUAAAUUGACGCUGAGGCACGAAAGCGUGGGGAUCAAACA